rnacentral:rRNA from 51 species
AUGUGACCUCAAAUCAGGUAGGACUACCCGCUGAACUUAA